CCCCGCAUGAUGCCAUUAGGGAUGGAAAUGAUCGGAAACGAUAAAAAAUAUUUAUUAUCCUUUCCUAACCAUAUUUGUUUACUUGGAAACGAAACGGAAUACGUUCGGAAAUGAUAAUGAUAACAGAAAUAUCGGUACAUCAAAAAUGGAACACUCGUAUCGAAAAAAUAUCGAUAUCGGUAACUCAAAUCGAAAAACACAUGAGUAUGAAUACAAAAUAGAGAACAAUUUCAACAACCAUACCUAAUUUAAUUUUAUAUCAUUUUUACCCGCCUAACGGACCUUUCUAUGCUUUCUAUCUCUAUAAGGGGCUAUGCUGUAAAAUAGCAAGGAUAUUUUUCAUUUUAUCUCAUCUCCUUCUCCCGUUGACUUGUUUCUGGUCUCUCCUCUCUCUUCCCCGUGAUCCUGAUUCCCUUUCUCUCUCUCGGAUCCAGCAGACGCUCGGUUUCUGCUGAGCAGCAGGUGGGUGGCUGAUCACCGUGGGCUGCUCGGCGCGGGCAGCAGCUCAGUUGUCGCGAACGAGCUGCAUAAUGAGCUGCUCGGCAACCAAGUUUAUAGGCACUGGCGGUGGUGAGGUACCCGCAGGUGGAAAUCUAUUUGUGCUAGCGGUGAACACUUGCUAGGGGUGAAUUUAAUACAAUAAUACACAUGUUUAAGUAUUAUGUUUUAUAAAGUGCCUAUAAACUUGGUUGGUUAACUACAGUAUAGAUAUUCACUUAGACAUUGUUUUGGUCAUGCUGUAAAAGUUGCUCAUUAUGUAUUUGGUUAUCUUGUAGAAAUCCAUGCUCUGGGACUUGAUCCAGGAUAUAGAGCCCUGGGACCUAGGUGUCAUUCAGAAAGAUGUUGCUCCUGAAACAGUAGAUGCAAUGAAGAGGACCAUAUCUGGCAUGUUGGGCCUGCUUCCAUCUGAUCGCAUCCGUGUCGUUGUAGAAGCCCUUUGGAAUCCCUUCUUCAAGCUAUUGCUACCUUCAAUUAUGACUGGGUCGAUCACAAUAGCAGCGAUGCCAGGGCAGUUACCUGACAUGGAAAUGCUGGCACAAUUCGGAUGUGGAGCUGUCCUUCUCAGCUUAGGUGCAGCCUUUCCCUAUGGAGUCCUGUCUAUGGGAAUGGUUUUCAUGGCCGAGAAUGUCAAAUGAAAAGACUUCAGUUUGAUAACCACAAAGAAGCUUCUUCUGCUGCCAUUACCAACACAGUGAUAGCUAGUCCAAUCCAAUCUUGUUGACACUUCAACUAAUCCAAGAUGUGCCACUGAAAAGGAAAACAUGUGCCUAUAUGGGUUGCCCAAUGAGGUGGCACCAUGUUCCCCAUCAAUUUCAAGGCUCCAUCGAGGAAAACACAGAGGGGAGGAGACAUACAUUGAGUGAUUGCCGUACCUCUGGUGAUGUAGAGCGGUGAUGUAGAGUGCGCUGGAAGGACGUGAUCUUGACGCCGGUGUGCCUCGACUCAGCGUCGCCGGGGUGGGAUUGGUCGCGACGUCGGCCUCGGCGCGAAUGCUGGAGACGACGGCGCGGCCGUGUUGGUGCUGGACACGACGGCGUCCCCGGUCUGGGAGCUGGACACGACGGCGGCGCCGGGGCUGGAUCGGAGGCGAGGGCGUCCCCGGUCUGCGUGCUGGAGGCGACGGCGGCGUCGGGGUUGGAGGUGAUUGCGGCGGCGGGGUUGGAGGCGGAGGCACAACGUUGGCGCCCUGGUUCGAGGAGACGGACGGCGGCUCGGUUUGGAGGCGAUGCCGGGAUCGAUGGCGUAGGCGAGGCGGCGGAGGCGGAGGCGGAGGCGUGUGUGGUAUCGGGAGACGUCCCGGGAGGUGCGUGAGGGUUUUUGGUGGGCGUCCUUGCCCGACCUCAAUCGGAGGGACACGGAUGGGGAUCGGCGUGGCCGUGGGAGCUGAGGGACGGCUGGUGUUGAUCCCAAUGAUCAACGGCAGAGCGUGUAGCUUGUGCUGUUGUAUCAUUGUAUGUUCAGAAACUUUGGCCAGAUCCUAGUAGAGAUGGAAAAAUCAGUUCCAUCAGGAAAGGCAAAACGAGAAAUGGAGAAGCUAGUAACAGAACAGUGUGCUGCUAUGAAAAAUGGUCUGGCUGUGUUGGGGCUCCAACGAGCGGAUAAUGCUGAAACUUUCUGGUGAAUGCAACGUUUGACGGAUGAUGAUUGCGACGCUGGUGGCGGAUGGCGUGCAGCCUUCA